rnacentral:rRNA from 1 species
GCACAAGCGGCGGAGCAUGCGGAUUAAUUCGAUGCGACGCGAAGAACCUUACCAAGGCUUGACAUACACCGGUAACGCCCAGAGAUGGGUGCCCCUUUGUGGUCGGUGGACAGGUGGUGCAUGGUUGUCGUCAGCUCGUGUCGUGAGAUGUUGGGUUAAGUCCCGCAACGAGCGCAACCCUCGUCCUAUGUUGCCAGCGGGUCAUGCCGGGGACUCAUGGGAGACUGCCGGGGUCAACUCGGAGGAAGGUGGGGAUGACGUCAAAUCAUCAUGCCCCUUAUGUCUUGGGCUUCACGCAUGCUACAAUGGCCGGUACAAAGGGCUGCGAUACCGCGAGGUGGAGCGAAUCCCAGAAAGCCGGUCUCAGUUCGGAUUGGGGUCUGCAACUCGACCCCAUGAAGUCGGAGUCGCUAGUAAUCGCAGAUCAGCAACGCUGCGGUGAAUACGUUCCCGGGCCUU